GAAAAUGGAUGGCGCUCAAGCGUGAUACCCAUACCUCGCCGCCAGGGUAGAAACGAUGCCCUGGCGAGUAGGCAGGCGUGGAGGCCCGUGACGAAGCCUUGGGGGUGACCCCGGGUAGAACGGCCUCUAGUGCAGAUCUUGGUGGUAGUAGCAAAUACUCAAAUGAGAACUUUGAGGACUGAAGUGGGGAAAGGUUCCAUGUGAACAGCACUUGGACAUGGGUGAGUCGAUCCUAAGCCCUAGGGUAGUUCCGUAAAAAGUGCGCACUUGUGCGCCGUUGGGCGAAAGGGAAGCCGGUUAAUAUUCCGGCACCUGGAUGCGGUUUCUUCACGGCAACGUAACUGAAAGUGGAGACGGCGGCGGGGGCCCUGGGUAGAGUUCUCUUUUCUACUUAACGGUCUCUCACCCUGAAAACGGUUUGUCCGGAGCUAGGGUUUAACGGCCGGCAGAGCACUACACCUCUGUAGUGUCCGGUGCGCUCCCGACGCCCCUUGAAAAUCCACUGGAAGGAAUAAGAUUCGCGCCAGGUCGUACUCAUAACCGCAGCAGGUCUCCAAGGUGAACAGCCUCUAGUUGAUAGAACAAUGUAGAUAAGGGAAGUCGGCAAAAUGGAUCCGUAACUUCGGGAAAAGGAUUGGCUCUAAGGGUUGGGUACGUUGGGCCUUGGGUUGAAGCGCCGGGAGCAGGUGACCACUAGCCGGGCAACCGGCCGGCGGUCGCCAGCACCUAGUGUGGACGCCCUUGGCAGGUUUCGGCCGUCCGGCGUACGUAUAACAACCAACUUAGAACUGGUACGGACAAGGGGAAUCCGACUGUUUAAUUAAAACAAAGCAUUGCGAUGGUCCCU
rnacentral:rRNA from 11 species